ACUGCCAGACCCCAAUCACCAGGACACUCGGAGGGCAGCGGGGUGAACUCCACCCUAAUCCACCCGCAGGUUCCUGCUCUCCGUUCAGCGCUCAGUAUUGUAUUCAGUCUGUGUGUUAUCUCCUAUAGGUUCUGACUCCAGGAGGAGAAGUCCCCCCGAGAGAUGUCCCCGUCCUCUGUAUUCCCAGGACUGUCCAGAGGAGAAGCUCCCAGAGAACCAUCAGGAUGAAAAUCUGAUGGAUAUUAAGGCUGAGGUUAAAGAUGAAGAAGAAGAGGAGACGGAUUUAUGGGGCGAUCAGCAGGAUGGACUCAUAGAAGGAAAUCCCCCCGAGAGAUGUCCC